rnacentral:lncRNA from 1 species
GGCAGGGUAUGGUGUAUUUUAUUGGUGGUACAUAACAAAGGAGGGCUCCCUAAGGCCUUCCCCUUCUUCAAGGGGUCUGGGAUGGAAGCUGUUUCAAGGUUUGGAGAUUCUCAGUGUGCUGGGGGAUGAGUUGGGGCAAGCAGCUAAGGACCUCUCUCUUCUUUUUUUGUUUCACUGGGGCUGGCUGUUCAGGGGUCUCUUGCUCCUUGGAAGCCAUGUGGACAAUAAGGUUCACCACCCAGUGGCUGUAGCCAAAUUUAUUGUUGUACCGGGAAAUGAGCUUGACAAAGUGGUCAUUAAAGGCAAUGCCAGCCCCAGCAUCAAAGAUGGAAGAAUGGGUGUCACUGGUAAAGUUGCAAGAAAUAACCUGGUCCUCAGUGUAGCCCAGGAUUCCCUUGGUCCAGCAUCAAAGGUGGAAAAAUUCGCGUCACUGUUAAAGUUGCAGGAAGCAACCUUAUCCUCAGUGUAGCCCAGGAUACCCUUGAGGGGGCCCUCUGAUGCCUGCUUCACCACCUUCUUGAUGUCAUUAUGUUUGGCAGCUUUUUCCAGGUGCAGGU